UACGUAGGGUGCGAGCGUUAAUCGGAAUUACUGGGCGUAAAGCGUGCGCAGGCGGUGAUGUAAGACAGGUGUGAAAUCCCCGGGCUUAACCUGGGAACUGCAUUUGUGACUGCAUCGCUGGAGUGCGGCAGAGGGGGGAUGGAAUUCCGCGUGUAGCAGUGAAAUGCGUAGAGAUGCGGAGGAACACCAGUGGCGAAAGCGGCUUUCUGGUCCUUAACUGACGCUGAGGCGCGAAAGCAUGGGGAGCGAACGGG
rnacentral:rRNA from 1 species